AAUUCGGAUCCUUCUGAACAUUAUCAGACUCGCCGCUACCCUUACACUGGUAAAUAGUAGUCUUUUUUCUCUGUCUUUUUCUGUUUUCUCAUCCCAAAUCUCCAUAUAAUAUUGUUCCGUCCCUCUCUUCUAAUUCUUCACGUUUUUCAAUGCACUGACUAGAAGACCUAGGUCUAUUUUUCUUCUUCUCCAUUAUCAUCGAUUCCAGUGAUCACAAUCGCUGUCGCUGAGUGUGUGUGUGUUUGAAAAUGGAGGAAGAUAUGGAGGAUAUGGUUGAGUAUACGUUUACGGCUGUUGAGAUUGAUCUCGAUUAUGAGUUUGAUGCGCCUCGUUACUUUGAUUUUUGCUGUGAGGAGACAUUGUUUGUGAGGAGUCAAGCUGAGUGUUGGUUUGAAACUGCUGGAAGCUAUCCUCCUUCUCCUUUUGUCACUAGGUUGAUUUCGAAGGAGGACGUUUUGCUGGAAAGCAUUAAUGUUUCUCCGAAAUCCAAAGUUGAGAACAUGAGUUUGUCAGAUAGCGAUUCUGAUAUUGAGAUCGAGCAAGAGGUUCCUGCUCUGAUAAAAGAAGGCGAGAGCAACAAUGCAGGAAUUUCCGCUAUUAGCAAUGCCGAGAAACUUUUAAAUCAACUGAGACAGCUACCUUCAGGGCUGACUUUCUACAAUCACAUGGCUAAAGGUGCCACAAAAGGUAAAACCAGGUGCUCUUCGAAGCCAUCUUGUCCCAGGAGUUCAACCCUCAUGAAACCAACUGCAAGUCACUUAGCCAAACAAAAUCUAUCUCGUCCAAUUGGUGAAUCAAGGUUACCGACAUUUUUGGUUGAGAAAAAUGGAACAAAUUCAACUGUAAUCGAGACUCAAGCUGCCAAGAGACAAAAGCUUGAGAGUGGUCAUCUACGGAAGGUAUCAUUUGUUGCCGAAGCGAAGCCUGUAUUUAGUUUUGUUCACAAGGAACCUAAGCGAGACGGAAAAGUUGAUGGCAGCAACACUACGGCUAAGCCCAGGAUUACUAUUCCUAGAGAGCCUGAGUUUCAAACUACUCAUAGAGCACAAAGAGCAAGGCCAAAAGUUAGUGAACAAGCAGAAAAUUUUCCACCGACAGCUAUCCGUAGAUUCAAAGCUCUUCCACUAAAUAGAAAGAUUUUUGAAGGUCCUCCUUUGCCUCCAAAAAAAAGCAAUCCACAGAUUCCGCAGUUUCAAGAAUUUCACCUGAAGACGUCAGAGAGAGCCGUGCAACAUCGUUCAGCAGUUCCAACUUCUGCUGCUAAUUCUUCUACCACUGAUAAGGUGUUGCAGAAAACCAGUACUAAGUCAACCAUGGAAUGUGGAAAUAGAGAAUUCAGAAGAGUCAAUCAUGUAGAGGCUCCAAAGCAAGAAGAAUCUGUGUCAACCUACAACUUCAAAGCUCUCCCCCUCAAUAAAAAGAUCCUAUCAAGUAAAGGAGACAUUGGAGUGUUCCGAAACACCAAAAGGGAAACCACAGUGCCAAUGGAGUUCAAUUUUCAUACUGUAAAGAGAAUUCAUCAAAAUCCGCCAAUUGAUCUGUUUAAUAAGCUCUCUCUUACAUCUGAGCCCCAACCAGGUGGCGAAGUGCAGUUGAAAGCACAAAGACCAUCCUGCCUUCGGUCAAAGGGCUCCAAAGAAAAUAGAUGGGCUUAUUUCCAACAAAACCAUGAGAUAGUACACACGGAGAAGGGAAAACUAGCUGAUCUCAAAAGCAAAGCCAAUUCAGUUCGGUAGUGAUAUGGGAUAACUGAAGUUUGUCAAGUAUCUAACACCAUCAACAGGUACAAGGAGUUUGGGCAUUUUUAGGGACAAAAUGCAACACAUUUUUUGAUGUCGAUGAACACCUUUUUGCUUGAUUCGAAAGGCAGACUGAGACGAUGCAGCGAUGCCAGUACAUAACAAUUGUCUGAAACUGUCAAGUGCGUUCGGAUAUAUAGCAGCUUUAUAACUUAUAUGUAAAAAUCAAUUUCUUCACAUGUAAACCGUCAGAUACAAACAACAAUGUUAAUCACCAUGUUAUCAUGUGAAUAAAAAAAUGAGCAAGUGUUGUUUAG